GCUUCCUCGCUCGCCCCCCGCGCGCGCGCCACCUCCCCUCCUCCCCUCCUUGUCCGAGGAGGACUUAUCCAAACGAAACAAAUUGGAGGCAAACCGAUCCUCCAUCCCUCUCUUCUCCAUCUCUAUCAUGGCUGAUCCGCCGCUGCCGUCGCAAUCUCCGGCGCAGACGCCGCCGCAGCCCGCUCCCGGGGCGGGCGGGCGCGAGGACAUGCUGGCGUGCGUGGCGGUGCUGCUGCUGUGCCUCCCCGCGCGUGAGCUCCAGACCGUCGACCGCUCCCUCCAGUCCUCGCACCAGAGAGUAGGAGUCAAGAGAAAUAUUUCAGAGCUAGGCUGGGAAGUGCUGAAGUCAUCAGAAUCAGAGGAAGCUUGCCGGGAUGAGCAGAAAACGCUCGGCUGCCUCGUAUGCUUUAAGGCGUUGCUACAAAGCCGGCCAUGAGCAGCAUGGUCAACCGGCCAGACCGGUAGGUAUGAGGAGCCGGGCAGCUAAGAAAGCGAUAACAGAGAGCCCCUCAUUCGAGCCGGACGUCGCAACUUUGUCUGUGUGUGGUUUGGUGAGAUCCUUUUGGUCAAGAUAGAAAAAAAAACUUGACCUGCCGGGGUAAGACCGCCCACGGCAUUGUUUGAAAGGUAGAAGAUCUUCUCACAGCAGGCCAAGAAAACCCCCGAACCCCUGCCCCACCCGUACACGAGGCCUUUACAGUGCUUUGGACAUGGAGCAAACGAGGGGGUUUUUUUAACCGGUAGGCGGAAAUUCGCCCCUUCCAGGGAUCGAAUCCACAACCUCCGGAGUGCCGCCGGACUGCCGGAACCAACCGGCACGACAUCCUUUGGCUGGUCAAGAUAGAAAGAGAUGUGGCCUUUGCGUUCGUUUCAAGUUGUUGUGGCGCUACGGCUGUGAACUGCAUGAUGAGACAGGCUCGGAAAUCUGCUUCAUUCAAACUAGAUGUUCAUGUUCAGAAAUGUUUGGGUCCUUCUUCAAUUCCAUUCUGGUGCACGCCGUCUUAAAAUUUC